rnacentral:misc_RNA from 1 species
CAGGAACUUGUAUCAGACAGUCCACAAAAGUCCAUUAGAGAUAAAGUAGGCCUUGUAACUCUGCCGAAGCAGUUAUGGUCUUCCUUCAAAGAAAAGGAUGGCGAAACUUGCGGGGAAGUUGGAUGGUUGUUUGAUCAUGGAUGUGCUAUGGUUUCAAGAUGUGCUUUUCGACAAGAUGGAAGUUUGAAGGAGAUGACAGUUGGCA